rnacentral:rRNA from 1 species
AAAUAAUUUUUUAAUUUUAUUCUUCGC